AUUGAACGCUGGCGGCAGGCCUAACACAUGCAAGUCGAACGAGUGGCGGACGGGUGAGUAAUGUCUGGGAAACUGCCUGAUGGAGGGGGAUAACUACUGGAAACGGUAGCUAAUACCGCAUACCAUCGGAUGUGCCCAGAUGGGAUUAGCUAGUAGGUGGGGUAAAGGCUCACCUAGGCGACGAUCCCUAGCUGGUCUGAGAGGAUGACCAGGCCACCUGGAACUGAGACACGGUCCAGACUUCUACGGGAGGCAGCAGUGGGGGAUAUUGCACAAUUGGGGCAAGCCUGAUUCAGCCAUGCCGCGUGUGUGAUGACGGCCUUCGGGUUGUAAAGUCUUUUAAUCGGGUCGACGUUACCCGCAGAAGAAGCACCGGCUAACUCCGUGCCAGCCGCCGCGGUAAUUC
rnacentral:rRNA from 1 species